GGGGGGGGGGGGGGGGGGGGGGGGGGCGGGGGGGGCGGGGGGGCGGGCGGGGAGGGUGGUCCUCUGCCGUUAGCGGCCGACGGGGGCGUAGCACGUUGGUGACCUACCUAUAGGACGGCGAUACCUUCCGGCAACCGGGGCUCCUCCCGGCUCCUCUCUUGCACCUCCUGGUUCACUAUUGCAAUCCGUGUUUGCUUUCACUUCUAGAUUGAUCCCCGCCGCAUUAGCUACUUGGGAAGGUCACGGCUUACCAAGGCACCGAUGCGUAGCCGACCUGAGAGGGUGACGGGCCACACUGGAACUGAGACACGGUCCAGAGUCCUACGGGAGGAAGCAGUAGGGAAUCUUACGCAAUGGGCGAAAGCCUGACGGAGCAAAGGCGCGUGAGUGAUGAAGGUCUUCGGAUCGUAAAAAUCUGUUAUUAGGGAAGAACAAAUGUGUAAGGAAAUAUGCACGUCUUGACGGUACUUAAUCAGAAAGCCACGGCUAACUACGUG
rnacentral:rRNA from 1 species